rnacentral:rRNA from 1 species
CCUACGGGUGGCAGCAGUGAGGAAUAUUGGUCAAUGGGAGAGAUCCUGAACCAGCCAAGCCGCGUGAGGGAAGACGGCCCUAUGGGUUGUAAACCUCUUUUGUCGGAGAACAAAACCCGGGACGUGUCCCGGACUGCGUGUAUCCGAAGAAAAAGCAUCGGCUAACUCCGUGCCAGCAGCCGCGGUAAUACGGAGGAUGCGAGCGUUAUCCGGUUUUAUUGGGUUUAAAGGGAGCGUAGGCCGACUUUUAAGUCAGCUGUGAAAGUCCGCGGCUCAACCGUGGAAUUGCAGUUGAAACUGGAGGCCUUGAGUGCACACAGGGAUGCCGGAAUUCAUGGUGUAGCGGUGAAAUGCUUAGAUAUCAUGAAGAACUCCGAUCGCGAAGGCAAGUGUCCGGGGUGCAACUGACGCUGAGGCUCGAAAGUGCGGGUAUCAAACAGGAUUAGAUACCCUUGUAGUC